rnacentral:rRNA from 1 species
AGCGAACGCGGGCGGCAGGCCUAACACAUGCAAGUCGAACGAAGUCUUCGGACUUAGUGGCGGACGGGUGAGUAACACGUGGGAACGUACCUUUUGGUUCGGAACAACUCAGGGAAACUUGAGCUAAUACCGAAUGCGCCCUUAGGGGGAAAGAUUUAUCGCCAUUAGAGCGGCCCGCGUUAGAUUAGCUAGUUGGUGGGGUAAAGGCCCACCAAGGCUACGAUCUAUAGCUGGUCUGAGAGGAUGAUCAGCCACACUGGGACUGAGACACGGCCCAGACUCCUACGGGAGGCAGCAGUGGGGAAUCUUGCGCAAUGGGCAAAAGCCUGACGCAGCCAUGCCGCGUGAAUGAUGAAGGUCUUAGGAUUGUAAAAUUCUUUCAGUAGGGACGAUAAUGACGGUACCUACAGAAGAAGCCCCGGCUAACUUCGUGCCAGCCGCCGCGGUAAGAC